AAGAGCUCUGCUUAAAGGAGCUCCAGAGACGGGCGCGAGCCGCGGCUAAAAGUGCGGACCCUAGAGACGGGCAUGAGACGCUAAGGCUGCUGCUGCCGCCACCAAAAACCUGUGUGCGAGCACAGCCUCAGAAGCAGCGGAUUAAAGCUCCACAAUCAACUUGAUGUACCCUGCAUCUGUGGAAUACAUGAAUAGACAACGAAUCAUCCCAAAUUGAGGAGGUG